rnacentral:lncRNA from 1 species
UCCGUCAGUAGCUCCCGAGCACGCCGGAGGCCUGGCCUGUGGAUGAGAUUGUUCCUUAUUUCCCCAGCUUCAGCACCACAGAAGAGACCAGAGUCUACCUUGCCAGCUCCUCUAGCACCGACCACGUGCCAAUUCAUGUCCUGAAUGCUCACUUCACUUCUUCACCUUGCUUCACUUCACUUACUGCACGGGAACAGAAAAGCCUAGAGAGGAUGGAUUACCUGUGCGGUUGCCUCCCUCUGCAGAGUGGGCGUGUCUCAGGAGCUUCUCUUCUUCUCCAGCCCAGUGCGGCCUCGUGUCAUCCAUAGGACCCACCGGCAGAGGGCAGGGCCUGCGAGUGGGGCCAGCCUCCUGGUGACUCUCGCCUCCUCUUUUCCAGCGGACGCUACCAGAGGACGAAGGUCUGACUCUGGCCAACGGCCCAGAAUUUCUGGCCCAGUUUUGCCUGAGGAAGCCAACUGUGCAGGAGGUCAGGAUCCCGGUAGGGUGAGAGUGGGAAAGUUAACAUUCCCAAGAGACUCCAAGCAACAGGAUUUCCUGACCUGGGACUAUUACCUUUCUCACAUUACAUGGCCAGAUUUACUUCCUGCUAUUAUUAAAAGUACGAAAAAGAUGAAGAUAUGUGUUUAAUGGAAACAAGGGCAAGAGUUUGCCUGACUGGACUUUGAGGAGGCUGUAGGAUCAUGGCGCUAACGGCAUUUGGAGGGCUGGGAAGGGACUCUAGCCCUGGCUUUACCUGCCUUUGUCAUCAGCUGGAGCAAGCAACUCCGCAACCUCGGAGCCUCAGUUUCCUUUUCUGUAAAAGGCGGGGAGGGUGGGUGGUAAGUGCAAUGCUGAAUCAGAACUCAUAGAGCUGCUGGGUGGACAUGUGAAGUAAAAGAGGAGACAGCUUUUGCUCCUGAAGGAUGCCAUUUGCGUUUUCCUCAUCAGUUUGAUCUCCUCCAAUCAUCCAGCACCUCCAUCUGACCUUCUCAGCUGAGAGGUCCUCAGUGUUUCUGUGGCCUCCAGGAGAAAGGUCCCCCUCCCCGGCUGAGGCCAGGCUGAUGGCAGGCUGCACGGCCAGCCUUCCACAGUCACCUGAAGGAUACAGAAAAGGAAGAGCUGGAGGCUUCUAGCAAGCUGCCGAACUGUGUCCUCCAGCUGCGCCCAGCCCCCUGGAGGUAGCGCCGGAGCACGUGGUGGUGGCUAUGUAGGAAGGCCCCUUUCGAGCCGCCCUAUACUGUCUUUGGGAUCUGCUUUUUACUGCCACAGCCUAUGUGCUCCUGAUUCUUCUCUCAAUCCCUGGAUGGAAACCGGCCUCUGAUACUUGGCUCUGCUUCCUUGGAGGAGCUACUUAACCAUUCAGUCCUCUCUGCAGUUAGCUAUUAAGGUUGUCCUGCGAACUGAAGCAGAGAGUCCCCGCAAAGGGUGCAGAGUAGGGCACCCACAGAGGAGCCUCUAAAGCACUUUCCAUGAGGUGGAUGGCUUCUCCUCCCCAAGGGACCCAGGAAGGAAAGGAGAGCUGCUUCUGCCUCCCCAGCAGAGAGGGACCUUCCCAGAGAAGAUGUCUUGCGCCUCACCUGAUCUUGUUCUGAGAGUAGGAGACUGGAAGAGAAGCGUUCAACUCCCCAAACACAGCUGGGUUUGUUUCGUUUAAUCUCCCAGCCUGUUUUUCUGCUGUCCUCCUGAAGAAUGUUUAAUCUCACAGUUAAAACCACCAAAAGCGACUUUUUUCCCCCUCAACUGCUCAGUAACACAUGACCGUGCAAAUUCGUUUGGCCCCAGCGCCACAAGUCAUAAAAGGCAUCUAGUGGGCGGCAUGAGUCAAUCAGGCCUUUGGACGGUGACGUAACCACAGCUUGUCAGUUUCCCCAUCCAGGCAGCCCCAAUCCCCCAGUGCAGACAUCUGGAGCCAGGGAUUGACAAGUGGAUUCCAGGAUUGGGCCCUGCCUCCCGCCCUGUUCAGUUCCAGCCCAGCCACGGCCGCCGCCAACGAGGACACGCACUGUCUUUCUGCACAUUCCCACGUACACACACCCCCGCAGCCCCCUCUCCACUCAUUCCUGCAUUUCCGGCAAUGUGAAUUCUGACAGCUCGGGCAGUGUCAGCCUCUCCGGUGCAUUCCUCACCACACCACCUCACUGCUCCCGAGCCUGCUGACAGCACUCCCCGCCAUACCUACCAAGCCGAAGGUGCAAGGAACCUCUUGAUCCCCACUGUGUCUUUGUCCCAGGGCCACAGCAAAAUAGCACCCCCCUCCCCCACACACCCUCUAGCCUAAUUUAUUAGACUUUUAAACACAUUUAUUUACUGUGAUAUCUACACCACACCAAACAUCUGGAGGGAAACCGGGAGACAAUCCACCAGGAAUUUAAAUGUUUGUUCUGCAAUGUAACUUUGAAAACCGAACCAGGAAAACUUGACAUCUUUAGCCAAUUGCUUGGUGUGAAAUCCAAUGGGAUAUUGGGGCCUGCAAAGGAGAAGAGGAGAUCCGCACAAACCCGUUCCUGGCUGCUGCAUUCACCUCCAGCGUUUGUGAUGCCCCAGAGCACAGAACUCCAGGGAGCCCACGAUGCAGGAGAGUUCAGCGACAUUCACUGAGUACAAGAGAAGACUGUUGGGAGGCACCAAUGGACUUUGCAACUGGAGAUCUCCCAACUGGACCAUGUCACUGUUAUGUUUAAUUUGCACUGUGCACAGUAGGUACCCAGUCAACGUUUGUCGAAUUCCAUGGACUGGGCCUUAUACCUCCGAGGAUUUUUCACAGCAGUAGCAUGUGCACAUGCACAGAACGAGAACACAACCAAUGCUUGUUUGCUGGUGAAGACCUGGUCUCAGUAUUUUGCCCAGGAAACCCUUUCUUCAUGGACAGCAUGAGGCAAGCUAUGGCCCUUGCUGUGGUCUCAGUGGUUCAGCACGGAAGAUGAAGAUGACGGGCAGUCUCAGAAUAUUAGCUUUAGAAGGGACUUUGGAUCCUUUUGAUUUUGGUAGGUGAAAUACUUUUUAAAAAUAAAGAAAACGGACUUUGGACAAAUGCUCUCAUUUUGUAAAUGAAAAAGUAGAGACAGGAAGAGUAACUGAUUUGUCCAAAAUCAAACAAAGUAAAUUGUGUUGCAUCCUCUCCAUCCGUAACCACCUUCGCCUUCCCUAACUGCUCCAUGUGGCCUGGGAAAGUCCACUUCACCUCGUCUUAGAGGUGGGCUUCUGAUUCUAGCUAAGCCAACCCCCA